ensembl:lincRNA uncharacterized LOC110327230
GCAUCUGGAAGAUCAUCUCUGGGCUUGGUGUGUCUCAAAAAUCAUCAGGCAAAGUGGCCCUGUCACAGGGUGAUUCUGGAGAGUGCUCAGUCCACCCCAGUAUCUUCACCAGAGCCUUCUACUUUGUUGACUGGAUCUGGCUCAUCAAGGGCUGAGGAAGUCCUUCAGGCAGAAUGAGGAAGAUACAUAGAUGGGCCAUCUGGAUAAGGAAAAGAGGAAGAAGAUUUGAGAUAAUAAAUGGAUAGCUGUCAUGGACUUUCCUCUUCUCCAGAACCAAGACCUACCACCUUUUCAGAGAACAAGUUCAUUCUGGCUGGAGCUACAACACCUGGUCCCUUUCUUUGUGACCUGCCCUGGAAGACACGUCGGCAGAGCUGAGUGAGGCUCCCUGUCUGGCUGCUGUCCUGGCUUGCAGGAUCUGGGAACACAUACCCAGAAACAACUCCCCAUCCAUGUGCCCUGCCCUUCAAAGUCUCACCUUCCUCACAUGCUUCUCAGAGAGCACAUACUUCAAGAAAACCAAAGGAAGAAAAAUAUUGUUCCAAGAGUUUUGGAAUUGACCUCUGGCUACAAAGAGCGUUGUGACUGGUUUACAAAGUUAUACGAUUCUCUGACAAAACUCUUUGUGACCAGAGCAACUACUUAAGAGUCUGUUACAAGGUGCACAGUGUAUUCUCUCUGUGAGCUUACAUCUGUGGGCUCCACAAAGGGCAUGCAUGCCAAAAGCCUGGGUAUGUGGUAGUUCCCAGUGACUGAAUCUUCUCCCAUUGGAAAAGGGAGGAACAGAAGAAAAGUCAGGGAAAUAGUCUAUGAGCUGGCUAGGGAAUGAACACAGAAACGCACAAUGAACAACACGAAGGACAUGCAGAGAGUGACUUUGGAGCACUUAGACCUCAGUGGGAUGCCUUCUUCAGAUUCCUCCCAUCAGGGUUCAGGGAGUUCAGUGGAAGAGGAGGAAAGACACUAAGAGCCAGAGGGGACAGAUCACUCAUGACUGGAAAGAAACAGUGUCUUCCAGACACAACAAGACUGACGCACGUAUGAAUUCAGAGACUGUAGCAACAUGCACAGUGCCUGUAUAAGUUCAAGCCAGAUGGGUUCGAAUCCUGCGAGGAGGAAGUGGGCACAAGUCCCAUCCCUGACCAAGAAGUUAUCUAACCUCAAUCAAUAACUUCUUGCAAAGGAAAAAAUAGAUUUCUCCAAUGGAAUUUCACUGGGAUUAUUAACCAGCCACUCUUCAGGGCAGGCCCCCUGCCCAGCAAUAGAUGGCUAAUAUAAUACUAAAUGAAUCUCAUGGUAUUUCUGUAGACUUUUGGUCUUACAAUGGUUUGUUUGAGUGUGUGUGUGUGUGUGUGUGUGUGUGUGUGUGUGUGUGUGUUACUGGUCUUUUACUUGUACGUUAUGGUUUUUGAUUUUGUGUUUUUAUGGUUUUAUAUAUAUGUGUGUGUUUCUUGUGAUUUUCUUUUAAAAUUUUAUUCUCUUCUCUUUUUUGCCUGUUUGUUUUUUAAAUAAGAGAAAGAAAUCAUGUAGAUGGGUGGAUGGGGAGGCAGAGGGGAGCCGGUAGGAGCUGGGGAAAGGGAGAUCAUAAUCAGAAUAUGUUGUAUGAAAAAAUUAUUUUCAAUGAAAAAAUACAUUAAAAGACAAAC